UACGGGGGGAGCAAGCGUUGUUCGGAAUCACUGGGCGUAAAGGGAGUCUAGGCGGUUUGGUAAGUGGGAUGUGAAAUCCCCGGGCUCACCCCGGGACCUGCAUCCCAAACUGCUGAGCUUGAGUACAGGAGAGGGUGGGGGAAUUCCAGGUGUAGCGGUGAAAUGCGUAGAUAUCUGGAGGAAUACCGGUGGCGAAGGCGGCAUCCUGGACCGACAUUGACGCUGAGGAGCGAAAGCUAGGGGAGCAAACGGG
rnacentral:rRNA from 1 species